rnacentral:sRNA from 1 species
AUUUAGCCCCGAUUGUAGUGGAAAUCCUUUUUUUAAAGAAAAAAGAUUGUAGCGGAAAGCGGGAGACAGC